rnacentral:rRNA from 1 species
AUUGAACGCUGGCGGCAGGCCUAACACAUGCAAGUCGAGCGAGCGGCGGACGGGUGAGUAAUGUAUGGGGACUGCCCGCUAGGGGGGGAUAACUACUGGAAACGGUAGCUAAUACCCCAUACUAUCGGAGACACCAUAUGGGAUUGGCUAGUUGGUGAGGUAAUGGCUCACCAAGGCGACGAUCCCUAGCUGGUCUGAGUGGAUGAGCAGCCACACUGGGCAUGGGACACGGCCCAGACUCCUCCGGAGGCAGCAUUGGGGAAGAUUGCACAAUGGGCGCAAUCCUACUGCGCCCAUGCCGGGUGUAUGAAGAAGGCCUUCGGUUUGUAAACUACUUUCAGCGAGGAGGCGUUACGCGCAGAAGAAGCACCGGCUAACUCCGUGCCAGCAGCCGCGGUAAUAC